UUCUGUUUUGUGUACUGUGUUAGUUGUUUUGUGCAACUAAUGCACCAGUUGCACCCCCUAAGGACAGCCGUGACUAUUGCUGUCCACAGCAGCCCCCUGUCAAGCCACGGUGCUGGGUAGCUGGAAGGUUCUUGUAGACGGCACGACUGUACGGAAUAAAACACAGACCCAGCUGAAGGUGACGAGCAAGCCGGCAGUAUGCAGCUAAGGCCAGAACCAGGAGUGGAGUCACUAGCAAGAAACCCACAACCAGCAGAGCUACACAUCCACCAUCAGUCAGUAGAUCCGAACAGUACAGUGAUGAACCCUGUGACCGCACCUGAAAAGAGAGACAUUUGACUGAUGUGGACCUGUGUGGGGUAAAGGAUGAGUGGUGGAAUGCAUGUAGGUGUAGCUGAGGAGGGUCAAAGAGAAAUUAAGUGUCCCUGGACGAAUGCAUCUCUGAGGUGUGGACAGACAAAGAACACAGACACUGGACAAGAAUGUCUGCUAACAGCAUAUAUGCUCGUUUUCUUUAGUGGGUUGAUCGUUUGUUACUUCUAAGCUGUUUAAACUCUCAUUCUGACGGC